UGCAGUGAGCUAAGAUCAUGCCACUGUACUCCAGCCUGGGCGACAGAGUGAGACUCCAUCUCAAAAAACAACAACAAAAAAAGAGUGUUAUAGAAAUGGAAUCAUUCAGUAUAUGCCCUUUUGAGAUUAGCUUUGUCACUCAGCAUAAUGCCUUUGAGAACCAUCCGAGUUUUUGUGUAUAUCAGAACCAUCCAAGUUUUUACGUAAAUCAGAA